GGAAUUUUAUUAACUUAAAUCCCGUUGAAUCAAGUCUAGGAGCCAAGUCGGGAAAACCGACUCCCAGAUCACAACAUCAUUACACGAAAGAGCAUAAUGAGCUAAAGAGUGAGCUACAGAAUUAGCUUCACGUCGCAUAUGGCGAAAAUCCACCACACAAGCUUCCCGCGCAGCAGUAAACGUCGAUCUAAGAUCCUCACACAGAGUCUC
rnacentral:lncRNA from 1 species